AGUGAACGCUGGCGGUAGGCCUAACACAUGCAAGUCGAACGGCAGCACAGGAGAGCUUGCUCUCUGGGUGGCGAGUGGCGGACGGGUGAGGAAUACAUCGGAAUCUGCCCAGUCGUGGGGGAUAACGUAGGGAAACUUACGCUACUACCGCAUACGACCUUCGGGUGAAAGAGGGGGAUCGCAAGACCUCUCGCGAUUGGAUGAGCCGAGGUCGGAUUAGCUAGUUGGCGGGGUAAUGGCCCACCAAGGCGACGAUCCGUAGCUGGUCUGAGAGGAUGAUCAGCCACACUGGAACUGAGACACGGUCCAGACUCCUACGGGAGGCAGCAGUGGGGAAUAUUGGACAAUGGGCGCAAGCCUGAUCCAGCCAUACCGCGUGGGUGAAGAAGGCCUUCGGGUUGUAAAGCCCUUUUGUUGGGAAAGAAAUCUUUCAGGCUAAUACCCUGGGAGGAUGACGGUACCCAAAGAAUAAGCACCGGCUAACUUCGUG
rnacentral:rRNA from 1 species